AAAUUGAAGAGUUUGAUCAUGGCUCAGAUUGAACGCUGGCGGCAGGCCUAACACAUGCAAGUCGAACGGUAACAGGAAGCAGCUUGCUGCUUUGCUGACGAGUGGCGGACGGGUGAGUAAUGUCUGGGAAACUGCCUGAUGGAGGGGGAUAACUACUGGAAACGGUAGCUAAUACCGCAUAACGUCGCAAGACCAAAGAGGGGGACCUUCGGGCCUCUCGCCAUCGGAUGUGCCCAGAUGGGAUUAGCUAGUAGGUGGGGUAAUGGCUCACCUAGGCGACGAUCCCUAGCUGGUCUGAGAGGAUGACCAGCCACACUGGAACUGAGACACGGUCCAGACUCCUACGGGAGGCAGCAGUGGGGAAUAUUGCACAAUGGGCGCAAGCCUGAUGCAGCCAUGCCGCGUGUAUGAAGAAGGCCUUCGGGUUGUAAAGUACUUUCAGCGGGGAGGAAGGGAGUAAAGUUAAUACCUUUGCUUAUUGACGUUACCCGCAGAAGAAGCACCGGCUAACUCCGUGCCAGCAGCCGCGGUAAUACGGAGGGUGCAAGCGUUAAUCGGAAUUACUGGGCGUAAAGCGCACGCAGGCGGUUUGUUAAGUCAGAUGUGAAAUCCCCGGGCUCAACCUGGGAACUGCAUCUGAUACUGGCAAGCUUGAGUCUCGUAGAGGGGGGUAGAAUUCCAGGUGUAGCGGUGAAAUGCGUAGAGAUCUGGAGGAAUACCGGUGGCGAAGGCGGCCCCCUGGACGAAGACUGACGCUCAGGUGCGAAAGCGUGGGGAGCAAACAGGAUUAGAUACCCUGGUAGUCCACGCCGUAAACGAUGUCGACUUGGAGGUUGUGCCCUUGAGGCGUGGCUUCCGGAGCUAACGCGUUAAGUCGACCGCCUGGGGAGUACGGCCGCAAGGUUAAAACUCAAAUGAAUUGACGGGGGCCCGCACAAGCGGUGGAGCAUGUGGUUUAAUUCGAUGCAACGCGAAGAACCUUACCUGGUCUUGACAUCCACGGAAGUUUUCAGAGAUGAGAAUGUGCCUUCGGGAACCGUGAGACAGGUGCUGCAUGGCUGUCGUCAGCUCGUGUUGUGAAAUGUUGGGUUAAGUCCCGCAACGAGCGCAACCCUUAUCCUUUGUUGCCAGCGGUCCGGCCGGGAACUCAAAGGAGACUGCCAGUGAUAAACUGGAGGAAGGUGGGGAUGACGUCAAGUCAUCAUGGCCCUUACGACCAGGGCUACACACGUGCUACAAUGGCGCAUACAAAGAGAAGCGACCUCGCGAGAGCAAGCGGACCUCAUAAAGUGCGUCGUAGUCCGGAUUGGAGUCUGCAACUCGACUCCAUGAAGUCGGAAUCGCUAGUAAUCGUGGAUCAGAAUGCCACGGUGAAUACGUUCCCGGGCCUUGUACACACCGCCCGUCACACCAUGGGAGUGGGUUGCAAAAGAAGUAGGUAGCUUAACCUUCGGGAGGGCGCUUACCACUUUGUGAUUCAUGACUGGGGUGAAGUCGUAACAAGGUAACCGUAGGGGAACCUGCGGUUGGAUCACCUCCUUACCUUAAAGAAGC
rnacentral:rRNA from 1 species